UCUAGCUCAGCUGGUAGAGUGUUUGCCUGUCAAGCACAAGGCCCUGGGUUCAAUCCCCAGCAAAAAAA